rnacentral:rRNA from 1 species
AGAGUUUGAUCAUGGCUCAGGACAAACGCUGGCGGCGUGCCUAACACAUGCAAGUCGAACGCGGUGGUUGGUUUCGGCCAGUCACCGAGUGGCGGACGGGUGAGUAACACGUGGAUGACCUGCCCUACCUGUGGGGGAUAGCCUUCAGAAAUGAGGGAUAAUACCGCAUGCGGUGGAGGGGAGUGGGAGCACUUUCUUUCACGGAAGCUUUUGCAGUGCAAGCUGUGGGGGCGCAGGAGGAGGGGUCCGCGGCCGAUUAGCUAGUUGGGGGGGUAAGAGCCUCCCAAGGCGACGAUCGGUAGCUGGUCUGAGAGGAUGGUCAGCCACACUGGGAUUGAGAACGGCCCAGACUCCUACGGGGGGCAGCAGUGAGGGAUCUUCGGCAAUGGGGGCAACCCUGACCGAGCAACGCCGCGUGCGGGACGACGCCUUUCGGGGUGUAAACCGCUUUUCUGGGGGACGAGGCAGUACGGACGGUACCCCAGGAAGAAGUCUCGGCUAACUACGUGCCAGCAGCCGCGGUAAUAC